CUAUUCGAAGAUGGGGACUGGUGAGGAUGUUUUUUCAAUCUGAAGCAGUUUCUUGAACUUGUGAAAUCUGAGAGUUUAUAGAAAUUUGAGGAGAUAACCAACUGGCGCCUGGAAAAGUCAGCUUGGAGAGAAGGAUAUGUCCACAGGGCCGUUCACAGAGAAGACGGCUGAGGCACGGGGAGGCAGAGGUGAGGGAAAGAGUGUCAGUAAGACUGGAAGGAGUAAAAGUCUAGCAGACUUCCUGUUACUGGGAGGCAGUAACUUGGAAAUUUUUUUGAGACCCUGACAGGUCUGAAGAAUUCAUGCUCUCAUUCACCUGGUAUGGAAGCUGUUGGGGAGGUUUUUCUAGGAAAGGACGCAGAUUUGAGCACAGAUUCCAGGUGAAGACACCAGAGUGGCCCCUCCCUUCGGGGUGCAGGCACGCCCUACCAGAGACCCUGCUCCUGCCUCUACUUCAGAGCACUUAUUGCUUAGUGGCUUGAAUUGGUCUGUUUCCUGAGCAUCUCCUCACUUACUCCAAUUGUUAAUAACCUGCAAAAGACAAGGUGGCCGUGUAUUCUGUCUCUGCUGAAGGACUGAUAAUGUGCACAGGCUCUUCCCUCCUUUAUUCCUGUCAUCUGUUUCCUGAAGUUUGAAUCAAGGGGAAACCAGGGUCCAAAGGUUCCCUGAGUGGCCAGCACUGCUAGCGUGACAUAUACAAACCAACCAGUUUGUCCAGUGGGGUCCCUACACCAACAUCCAUUGUUUCUCUCUGAAUUUUCUGAUUUACAUUCUUUUUCCAGCAAGAAUACUCCCCCUUAAAAGCCCUGAAAAUUUCUCACUUUAUUGUUUUAAAUUAGAAUGUUCUAUUCUUGCACUCUGUCAGUCUCCCCUCUUCCCUUCUUCUCCCAGUUCCUUCUGCGGUAACAGAAUAUCUCACCUGAUGAAUUUUUUUAAAAAAAUUACAUUUUGUUUAACUUUCUUCCCCAAGAGAGCUACUCAGAAAUAGCACGUACUGUGAGGUCUGUUUGUAGGUGAUGUUUCCAGCCCUGCAUCUCAGCACUGGCCCCUGGCCGAGGGUCUCACACCUGCUGUGGUGACUGAGGGCAGACUCACCUGGGCCCUUUAUGGCUACAGUAAGGUCACAGAUAAUGACUGCCAGGGGUUGAAAGACCCCUCACCCUGGUGACACAGGCCCUUGUCCAGGGUCUUUUUAUUCAUAAUGGCAGAUAAGUCACUUCACGGGUCUGUAUAUUUCAACGAGGAUAAAAAUCCUACCGACCUCAUAAACUUUUGAGGCAUGUUGAGAAAUGGUAGAGUGAAUAUAUUUUAGAAAAUAUAAGGUAUGCAUUUAUAUACAAGUAAACAUUCAAUGUAUACAAGCAAACACUUGUCCAAAUCCAGAAAAUGGACACCACCCAGAGUGAACUCGAACAGAAACCGGGAUGUGUAAAUGCAGGUUCACCAGUUCUAGCAAACGGGCCAGCCAGGUGGGGAACGCUGGCGAUGGGGGAGACUAUGCACGUGUGAAGGAAGGGGGUAUGUGUGAAA